AGCCGUGAGCUAGCAGGCAGUCACCGUGGUUCCCCUCGCACUCCCCCUCCGGAGAAUUCCCCGAGAAGGCGGGCGCCGGCUUCGGCCCCGGGAUAGACCUGCGGCGGCGGCGGGAACGGCCACGCACAGGUACAAUUUAGCGCGUUUCAUUUCGCGCUCCAAGCUCCUGGGUCUGUCCACUGCAACGCAGACCGAGCGGGAUCUCGGAGUCUGGGUCACUGAGGCGCUCUCUCCAGCCAGGGGGGUGGGAUACAGGGCGCGGCGAGGGGUCCUCAGACUCCGCGCUCUGAGCGCUCAGCCUCCCCAUCCCAAGCCUUUGGUCGCUACAGCUCAGUCUCCCAGUGCCAGGGGUCGAACGGGAGGCGGUGGCCCGCACUACGGAGCAUAGACAUGCAUAUUAAUCAAAGCUGAAGGAAGACGAAUAGGGACAGGAAGAGGAAGGGGAGUGGGGGGGGGGGAAGAAAGAGGAGAAUGGGUAGGAGAAUGCGCCUCGGGGAGGCAUUUCCCUAACGUUCCCAUUCCAGACUCCCCUACACCUAGCGGCCCUUCACUUCUCAAACUGAACUUGGGAACUUGCACGUUGGAAACAGCAAGUCGCGGUUUGGGAAAUCCUCCUUAUUUGAUGAUCUCCUCCCUUCCCCCAUACCGGACUUCCUUCCUACCUUUCCUCAGCAACACCUGCUCCUGCUGCGCUGCCCACCCCGGGGGCGCACCUGCCCUGCUCUGCUUGUGCUCCCUAGAUCCUUCCACCCAUUUCUCGUCCACUUUCUGUGCUCAUCUUCGUUAUUCCCUACACUGCUCUGUUUCCAGAGGCUCCCCGCGACGCCUA
rnacentral:lncRNA from 1 species